rnacentral:rRNA from 1 species
AAUAUUUGACAAUGGGGGGAACCCUGAUCCAGCCAUGCCGCGUGUGUGAAGAAGGUCUUCGGUUUGUAAAGCACUUUAAGUUGGGAGGAAGAGUUGUAGGCUAAUACCGUGCAAUUUUGACGUUACCAACAGAAUAAGCACCGGCUACCUUCGUGUCAGCGGCCGCGGUAAUACAGAGGGUGCAAGCGUUAAUCGGAAUUACUGGGCGUAAAGCGAGAGUAGGUGGUUCAGUAAGAUGAGUGUGAAAUCCCCAGGCUUAACCUGGGAACUGCUUUCAUAACUGCUGAGCUAGAGUACGGUAGAGGGUAGUGGAAUUUCCUGUGUAGCGGUGAAAUGCGUAGAUAUAGGAAGGAACACCAGUGGCGAAGGCGACUACCUGGACUGAUACUGACACUGAGGUGCGAAAGCGUGGGGAGCAAACAGG